AUCCAAUUGACGAGUCACGAAUAGGACGAAACGCGUGUCAAACUGGAU
rfam:Schistosoma rodhaini strain Burundi genome assembly, scaffold: SROB_scaffold0003850